rnacentral:rRNA from 1 species
AUGUCCCUUCAGAAUUUUCAGGAUUGUCAUGUCGGCAAACAAGCGCCUUUCCAGUUCUUAGCAACGCAACCACCAAAUACGCUCCAACAGAUGUGCAGACAAAUUCAAGACGAGAGUGAUGUGGAUGUUCAGAUUGACUCAUUUACUACGAUAUUUGACAGAGCACUCAUGGCAAAACGGAUGUCCCAGGAAGAGAAUGAAGUCAAUCCUGACACAAGCUUAAGGGACAGCAAAUGGGAUUCCUCAGUGGAUGCUCUAUGUUCGUGCUGCGCAAUGGUGAAAAAGCGUAAGCCUGCUGCUCGCCGAACACCCUCUACCAUACUACAAAAAAUAGCUGGAGUUGCUCUGGACAUCAAAGAGGCAGCACGGACGGCUCUUCAGAACACAGAGGCUUGCAUUGAGAUUGGUAAACGUGUUAGUACAGUCAGUGCCCUCCUAUCAAAGCUCGAGAACACAGAGAUGGUGGAAAAACAAGAGAUCAGAGACGCCCUAAAUGAGCUCCUUGAAAUCUUCGGUCACGCCCACACACUCGUCAUGGCUUGCCAGAAAAGCGGCGUUGUCACCAUGCUCUUCUGCAGCCCGCCAUGCAAACUGUCCAAACAGCUAAGUGCUGUAUUGGAUCAAUUGGUGCCUAACAUCAACGCAUUGAUUGCAGUCAUUGUCAACAGCUGCAACGUCCGUCCCCGCAGAUACAAGCGUACCAGAAAUGCACCUGCAGCACCCCGAGCACCAACAUAUAUUCAACCAGAAAGACAAACUUCGAGAGGUGUUGCAGCCCCCCUGCCCAAAUUUGCAGAAUGGGAUACGAUUCAAGAAGGUUGA